rnacentral:tRNA from 1 species
GCGCCCGUAGCUCAGAUGGAUAGAGCGGUGGACUUCUAAUCCACUGGUCGGGGGUUCGAAUCCCUCCGGGCGUG